GCAUGGUCCCAUGCCCAAAAUAGUUUCAGAGAAUCAGGGCUUACGGUCAGUCUAGUUCGGUAGUUUAAAAAUGAACAAACUACCGAACAGAGUCAAUAGUUUUACCCUGGAGCUUGAUCCCCUUGUUCGUGGGAACGUUUCCACCGAACAGCGCCCUUCUAAGUGUUGUAGAACCGAACUCAGGCAAUGCUGAAAGUCAAG